rnacentral:rRNA from 1 species
CCUACGGGGGGCAGCAGUGGGGAAUAUUGCGCAAUGGGCGAAAGCCUGACGCAGCGACGCCGCGUGAGGGAUGAAGGUCUUCGGAUCGUAAACCUCUGUCAGCAGGGAAGAACGGUCACUGUGCUAAUCAGCAGUGAAUUGACGGUACCUCUUGAAUAAGCCACGGCUAACUACGUGCCAGCAGCCGCGGUAAUACGUAGGUGGCAAGCGUUGGCCGGAUUUACUGGGUGUAAAGGGCGUGCAGCCGGGAAGACAAGUCAGAUGUGAAAUCCCGCGGCUCAACCGCGGAACUGCAUUUGAAACUGUUUUUCUUGAGUACCGGAGAGGUCAUCGGAAUUCCUUGUGUAGCGGUGAAAUGCGUAGAUAUAAGGAAGAACACCAGUGGCGAAGGCGGAUGACUGGACGGCAACUGACGGUGAGGCGCGAAAGCGUGGGGAGCAAACAGGAUUAGAUACCCCAGUAGUC